GGUGCUUCACUCUUAUUCUUGCAAUGUCCAUUUCUGCAUGUGAUGUGAAUAGGAAGAGAGACAGGGGAGUGAGAAGCCAGACAGGCAAAAGCAGAUUAAAAUAAACAAAGAGGUUGCCUUAGAGGGUCCACAGUGCCAAGUGAGAAAGAGGAAUUUUUCAGGAAAUAAAUUAUUUAGUGGACAUAAGUGAAACAGGAAGAAAAAAACUAAAAAGGGAGAAUCAAUGUACACACUCCAUGUAACAGACUUGUGUUUUAAUAUAUACUUUAGAUUUUUCUGUCACAUUUGGACCUUCUAUGAAGCCCUUCUCCUUAAAGAAACAUUAUUCUUCAAGUCUGUCUCCUUAUGUUUUCACACUAAAGCUUGUGAGAAGUCUCAGCAUACAGGUGAGAGACACAAAGAUCAGCUGAGAGCUUUUCUUCCUUCUGAGGGAUUAGAAGUAUGAAGAGAAGCUCCUGAUAUCCUGUGAGAGCAACCAGCGGAGGAAAAGUAAACCAGAGGGAGACCUCAAAAGCAAUAGCGGGAAGAGAAAAUGGCUUUGUCUGAGCCCAGCAGCAGAGUUGGCAGCACAGAUGUUUUGUGAGACAGUCCACAAAUAUCAAAAUGACAAAGACUAUUUCAGACCAUCAGAUACGAGUGAUUCUUCUAGAGAAGAAGUAACAGGAAUCUU